UCCAUUGAAGAACUGAACUUCUUCAAAAGUUUUUGGACUAGGAAGAUUGCUGAUAAUGGAAGGAUGCAUCAGAAGAAAUAAAUAAAGGGCUGUUGUUCCUACAACAACAAAAAGAGAUGCCAUUAGGAAAUAGUAAAAAAAUCUCUACCUUUGACCUUAUUCAUUCAAGAAAGUACUUUAAAUCAAUGCAUGCUGAGAUAUACAGGAAAAGUAGAUUACCUGUUAUAAGGAAGUUGCCUGUUGAUGAAAAGCCUGUAUAAGCACAAGGGGCUUUCAGAGGGAUGUGGGAUACAUGCAGACUCUUCUGCUUUUUGAGCUUUUGUCAUUUCCAAACCCUGAAUUCUGCUGUGUGAUACAAGCCUGAUAUUGCUGCUGAAGGCAUUGCUUGCUUGACUCUGUAUUUAAACCUCUGAGGCAAUUCAGCCUGCACAUCUUUGUUUUCAAACUAUUCAUGUUGCACAAAACUUCUCAAAAGCAUUAACUGUGGGACUAUGUUUUUGUUGCUCCCAGAACUGUCUUUUUGCCCUCUGUGCAUUUGUUCUGGGGGUCUGCUACUGAGGAAUAAAAAUUCUGUUUCAAUGCUAUUAAGCCUGUAUGUGGAAAAGAUUCUUAUUUCAACAAAUGGCUUGUAAUUGGAGGAGAAAGAAGAUGUGAUAUUACCUGCCAAAGAGGGUCUGUCUGCUCUGGAAAGAGCUCAAAGUACUUCUGAGCCAGCUGAACGGGGGGCAGUGUCUGCAGGUUCAGGUGUCUGGAAGGUGCUGGCAAAUGUGAGCCCUCGGUUAGGAAUCCCCAGCACUUCGGAACAUCUGAGGGAGACAGCUUGCUGCUCUUCAGACAUGUAGGCAAAGCUUAAUUUCAGGGCUGCUAUUUAUGGAAUUAACCUGAAAAUCUGACUAAUAUGGUGUCUCCCAUGAAUGAAGGUUGGCUAAUUUGUUUAAAUUGGCAGAGCUGGAAGUAGGUAAGUUCUGAAAUGUAAAGAUUUCAAGCCUUUGUGAAUGAUGGUAUCUCAGCUAAA